AUGAUAAUAAUAAUAAUAAUAACAGUAAUAAUAAAAAUGUCACUAAAAAUGUUGUAUUCCAAGGUGUAUGAAAUGAUCAAUUAAUUCAUAUGACAAAGUUUAUGCUACAAAGGCGAUGUGGCUCGCUCCGUUUCUUUCGUUAACUUAUGUCUCCAUAUCAAUUAUUUCAUUACGCAAAAUAUAUGUUUGUUUUUUUCUGGUGGAUAUGAAUAAGAAAUAAAAAAUAUUCAUAACAAUGAUUCGACCAUAACCAACAACACCACCGCCCCACCGUAUGCAGCUGUCUGCGGGUCGACUGCCAGCGCCGGUUCUUCACUCUUUUUGAAGCCUAUUCUGCACUAAAUACAUGCAACAAUUCGAUUAUAAAUAGCUACAGAACCGCUGGUUUGGGAGGUGUGAGAUGAGCCUUGACUCCCAUGUCGCUUCACGCGUCUUCCUGUGGGUAUCUGGCAACGCUCCGUCCCAGCCCAUUAACUGCCCGGUCACAGGUCAGGGCGGGGCAGCGACAGUCGCCACCCGCCAGUCCAUCUUCAGUUGGUCAGCCCGUGUGUUUCACGAUAUUUAUAAAUGACACAACACUAUAGACACAAACCUACACGUCCAUCGAGCUUUCCCUUGCUGCACUGAUAUUCACUUCCGUAAUCACUAUGUCUAUUUUUACCGUCCCAAGAUGUUUGCACCAGAAGAAAAAAAAAACAGUACAUAAACACGGCACGACCCAAUACGUCCUACCCCUACCAAGGCUAAAAUAUUACUACUACUACUACUACUACUACUACUACUACUACUACUACUACUACUACUACCACUACUACUACCACUAUUAUUACUACUACUACUACAGAAACAACUACUAAUACAACUACUAUUACCAUUAAUAUCUCUACUAUUACUACUGUUACUACUACUUUUACUACUACUAUUACUAAUUCUGUUAUUACUACUACUACUACCACUACUAUUACUAUUAGUACUACCACUACUACCACUACUACUGCUACUACUACUACUACUACUACUACUACUACUACUACUACUACUACUACAUAAAUGAUACCUCCACCCAUGUUUAUUUUCCCGACACAUAAUCAUGGAGAGCUCCAUCGCUUUUUUUUUUUUUUUUUUACAACAAAGGAGGCAGCUCAAGGGCACACAAAAAAAGAAAACAAUAAUAAAAAAAAAGCCCGCUACUCGCUGCUCCUAAAAAAGAAACAAAAGAGGUGGCCGAAAGCAAGAUCAAAUACGGGAGGAGAGAUGUCCUGAUACCCUUGGAGGUCAUUAGCCUCAACUCUGUUCGCUAAUGACUGUAGCAUCCAACCAUAUCACUAAUACUACCUAGCACUAAAUCACUUUUCAUCUGUUACGUCCAGAUCCCCCUUUCCUUCCCUACUCAUGUCACUCCCGACCAACCCUAAUGUCACUCUCCACCACUGUGGCUUCAUAGUCCAUAUUGGAGAUGUUGGUGGCUUUUGGGCCAGAGUGUCUGGUGCUUCUGAGACAUAGGAUGGCCGACCUGAGCAGGGAGAACGAGAGGCGACAUCUCAUUCAUGCGACAACGUGGCUCCUUGGCUGAUGCUUCUUUUCUGAGAUUAAUUCCGCGAGUAGUGCGUAGAAGCAUUGGGCCCUGGGACCCAUCCCGCCGGAUGUGGUGAAGACGAGGGGGGUGAAGCUGCCCUGAUCCACAUGUUGGAUUCUUUCACCGUAUGCCCUUGUCUUCUCCUGCUCGUUCCUGUGGUGGGCGGCUUCCAGGGGCAGCUCACGGUGACAGGCAGCCAUCGGGUCGAAUAAGCGGAUGUCCAUGGACGCCCGCUGUUCGCGCACCCAGAAUCCGAGGGCACUUACAUCAACCCGUGCCUCCUGUGAGGUGGGUUUAAACCAUGGCACAAAUUUGGCCCGUCGCUGCUACACGGUGAAGCCACAAAUUUGGCCCGUCGCUGCUACACGGUGAAGCCACAAAUUUGGCCCGUCGCUGCUACCGGGCUACUAAAACAACUACUAAUGCAAUUACAAUUACAACUAACAUCUCUACUAGUACUACUGUUACAACCAUUUUUACUACUACUAUCACUACUUCUAUUACUACUACUACUACUACAACUAUUACUACAACUAUUACUACUACUACUACUACUACCACUACUAACUACUACAACUACUGCUACUACUACUGUUACUACUACUACUGCUACUACUACUACUACCACUACUACAACUACUUAUAUUACUACUACUACUACUACUACUCCUUCCACUACCAUUACUACUACUACUGCUACUACUACCGCUACUACUACUAUUACUACUGCUACUACUACUUGUAUGCUACUAGCACUACUAUACUAUAACAACUACUAAUACAACUACUAUUACCACUAAUAUGUCUAUUAUUAGUACAGUUAAUACUAAUUUUACUACUACUAUUACUACUUGUAUUAUUACUACUACUGCUGCUACUACCACUACUAUUGCUACUACUGCUACAACAGCAUCUACUACUACUACUACUUUUUUUUUUAAACCUGGGUCCUUCCAGACACUUCCUCCGUCUACUACCAAUACUAAUACUUAUACUACUAAAACUGGCUCACGGCGUGGCUUAGCAAUAGGAAGCAGAGAGUGCAAAUCAAUGGUAAAAGAUCUGACUGGGGAUGUGUUACGAGUGGGGUCCCACAAGGUUCGGUAGUAGGUCCACUUUUGUUUAUUAUUUAUAUCAAUGACUUAGAUACAGGAAUCAGUAGAGAUGUUAGUAAGUUUGCAGAUGAUACCAAGAUCGGUAGUGUAAAUGAGUCGGAUCAGGACGCUAGUAUUCUCCAGGGUGAACUAAACAGAUUGUAUGACUGGGCGGAUAAAUGGCAAAUGGAGUUCAAUGUAGUGGAAGUUCAGUAUUCUGAGUGUUGGUAGGUACAACCCCUCACAUAACUAUUGCUUAAAUGACACUCUCAUAAGCAGGUCUGGGUGCGAGAGGGAUUUAGGGGUCUUAGUGAGCUCUGAUCUCCGUCCAAGGGCACAAUGCAUUCAAGCUAGAAAUCGAGCAAAUAGGGUACUGGGAUUUAUUUCAAGGAGCGUAAGCAACAGAAGCGCCGAAGUCUUACUUAAACUAUAUUUAGUUAGACCUCAUCUUGACUAUCCGGUUCAGUUCUGGUCACCUUACUUUAGAAUCGAUAUCAAAAUGUUAGAAUCGAUGCAGAGGAGGAUGACUAAGAUGAUUCAGGGGUUGAGAAACUUGCCAUACGAGGAAAGACUCAAACAGUUAAACUUGCAUUCUCUAGAAAGGCGAAGGGUGCGUGGAGACAUGAUCGAGGUUUAUAAAUGGAUGAAGGGCUUUAAUAAGGGGGAUAUUCAUAAGGUUUUGUUGGUAAGAGAACCGGGUAAGACACGAAGUAAUGGGUUUAAACUGGGUAAAUUCAGAUUCAACAGGGACAUAGGCAAAAAUUGGUUUACUAUCAGAGUGGUGGAUGAGUGGAAUAGGCUUAGCAGUCACGUAGUGAGUGCCAAUAGAAUUGUCACUUUCAAAAAUAGAUUAGAUAAAUUCAUGGACGGCGAUAUUAGGUGGGGUUAGAUACACGGGAGCUUAGGUUUAAAGGAGCUGCCUCGCACAGGCCUACCGGCCUCUUGCAAACUCCUACGUUCUUAUGUUCUUAUGUUCUUAUGGUGUCUAUGUCUGUGAGGCUUUAUGGCUCAGGUGCUGUUUGAGGUUGACAGAGAGCCUUUUGGUGCCUAUGUAUGUAAGGCUUUAAGGUUCAGGUGUUGUACAAAGUUGACAGAGAGCCUUUUGGUGUCUAUGUAUGUAAGGCUUUAAGGCUCAAGGCCCAUACUUAUAAAGAAGUAAGGCGUUUGACUUAUGUCUCGUCUCAGAGGUGAGUGUGCACCCUGGCUGGGGCUCCAGCCGCCACGGGCAGUGGGGAAAGUAAAGUUGCCAACAACGGCGAGAUCAGUUAUCUCAUAUGAAAAUUAAUGGGUAAGAUUCCUUAAAAUGGUGAAAGUAUUGAAUAGAAGUACAUCAUAUCCAUAAAAAUAAGGUUUUGUAAGACUAUAGUGAGCGUUUGAAUGUAAAACGAUUUGAUGAGGCACGCUGGCUGUCUGGCAACACCCGGCAAUGUUUACAUUUGAAGGUCGCUGCCUCAGACGAAGACCCAGGACUUAUGCCUGCCUGGGACCAACUUUAGCUACUCGCGCCGCGUCUCAGAUUAACACCCAGGAUAUAGGACUCCACAGGGCCGGUUUGCGCUCUUAAGACGAGCCUGAGACAAAGUGUUAGCUUUAUAAGUAUGGGCCCAGGUGCUGUACAAGGUUGACAAAGAGCCUUUUGGUGUCUAUGUAUGUAAGGCUUUAAGGCUCAGGUGCUGUACAAGGUUUACAAAGAGCCUUUUGGUGUCUAUGUAUGUAAGGCUUUAAGGCUCAGGUGCUGUACAAGGUUUACAAAGAGCCUUUUGGUGUCUAUGUAUGUAAGGCUUUAAGGCUCAGGUGCUGUACAAGGUUUACAAAGAGCCUUUUGGUGUCUAUGUAUGUAAGGCUUUAAGGCUCAGGUGCUGUACAAGGUUUACAAAGAGCCUUUUGGUGUCUAUGUAUGUAAGGCUUUAAGGCUCAGGUGCUGUACAAGGUUGGCAGAGAGCCUUUUUGUGUCUAUGUGUGUAAGGCUUUAAGGCUCAGGUGCUGUAUGAGGUUGGCAGACAACCUCUCGGUGCCUAUGUCUGUAAGGCUUUUAGGCUCAGGUGCUGAACGAGUUUGGCAGACAGUCUCUUGGCACCAGUAGUUGACAUAAGAAAAUGAAUUCCCGAUCAUCUUUUGAGGGGGAGGAGGCCCCCCUAAAAAAAAAAAAAAACCA